UACGAAGGGGGCUAGCGUUGCUCGGAAUUACUGGGCGUAAAGGGCGCGUAGGCGGAUGGCUUUGUCGGGCGUGAAAUUCCAGGGCUUAACCUUGGGGCUGCGUUCGAGACGGGUUGUCUUGAGUGGGGAAGAGGGUCGUGGAAUUCCCAGUGUAGAGGUGAAAUUCGUAGAUAUUGGGAAGAACACCGGUGGCGAAGGCGGCGACCUGGUCCUUUACUGACGCUGAGGCGCGAAAGCGUGGGGAGCAAACAGG
rnacentral:rRNA from 1 species